UGGGGAAUAUUGGACAAUGGGCGAAAGCCUGAUCCAGCCAUGCCGCGUGUGUGAAGAAGGCCUUUUGGUUGUAAAGCACUUUAAGUAGGGAGGAAAAGCUAAUGGUUAAUACCCAUUAGCCCUGACGUUACCUACAGAAUAAGCACCGGCUAACUCUGUGCCAGCAGCCGCGGUAAUACAGAGGGUGCAAGCGUUAAUCGGAAUUACUGGGCGUAAAGCGCGCGUAGGUGGUUACUUAAGUCAGAUGUGAAAGCCCCGGGCUUAACCUGGGAACUGCAUCUGAUACUGGGUAACUAGAGUAGGUGAGAGGGGAGUAGAAUUCCAGGUGUAGCGGUGAAAUGCGUAGAGAUCUGGAGGAAUACCGAUGGCGAAGGCAGCUCCCUGGCAUCAUACUGACACUGAGGUGCGAAAGCGUGGGUAGCAAACAGG
rnacentral:rRNA from 1 species